UACGUAGGGCGCAAGCGUUGUCCGGAAUUAUUGGGCGUAAAGAGCUCGUAGGCGGUCUGUUACGUCCGCUGUGAAAACCCAGGGCUUAACCCUGGGCUGGCAGUGGAUACGGGCAGACUAGAGGUAGGUAGGGGAGAAUGGAAUUCCCGGUGUAGCGGUGAAAUGCGUAGAUAUCAGGAGGAACACCUGUGGUGUAGACGGCUUCUGGACCAUAACUGACGCUGAGGCACGAAAGCGUGGGUAGCAAACAGG
rnacentral:rRNA from 1 species